ncrna:Dokdonia sp. MED134 S15-Flavobacteria ribosomal protein leader
UAUCUUUGCACGCUGAUAGAGAAACUAUCACGACAUACAUCGAUCUCAUUUAAAACAAUAUUGGAAUG